UCUUUAUGGACCUCGCUUUCUGUGAGCUUGUGACCUACCACCGCCCGUUGCUCCUAGAGGUUUCAACUUCACAAUAACAGCACUUACAGUCGAACUGGGCAGCAAUUUGACAAACUGACUUGUUGGAAAGGUGGCAUCCUAUGAUGGUGCCACCUUGAACGUAACUGAGCUCUUCAGUAAGGCCAUUCUAAUGCCAAUGUAUGUCUAUGGAGAUUGCAACAAGUGUGGCUGAAAUAGCUGGAUCCACUAAUCUAAUUUUAUGGGGUGUCCACAUACUUUUGUAUAUAUAGUGUAUGUUUGGCACGUUAACUGUAAAUUACUGCCUGCUUUUUCCUUUGUUAGUAGCCUACGAAAGCUGGUUAUAUUUAUUUAUCUUUCCUUGUUUGCUGCAGCCUCGCCUCUCUUAUGGCAGGUGCUUUCUCAUGAUCCAGCAGUGAGAAAUAAACAGUGGCAACAGGACACAGUGAAUCACAGACAGAGGACCCAGCUCUUCCCUCAGCGGUAAGUGUACUCUGCAUUCCUCUCUGAGACCUUGACUCCUUAUACUAGGUGUGGCAGGUAGCCUAGUGGUUAGAGUGUUGGACUUGUAACCAAAAGGUUGCAAGAUCGAUUCCCUGAGCUGACAAGGUAAAAAUCUCUUGUUCUGCUCCUGAACAAGGUAGUUAACCCACUGUUCCCCUGUAGGCUGUCAUUGAACAUAAUAAUUUGUUCAUAACUGUCUUGCCUAGUUAAAUAAAGGGAAAUAAAAUAUAUAUAUAAAUACUAAGAGGGGUAAUUCAACAGGGUGUGUGUCUGAUAAUCACUGAUACUCAGAAGCCUGGGGAACUGUAGCCUACUAUACUGUAGUGUCUGAUGCUACAAACAGAAUACAAUGCAAACCAGCACGACCACAAUUUGACUUCCUAAAAUAAAGUUGUUUUGUUUAUUAUCUUAGGCUGUUGUAACUUGUCUAGUUUCAUUGCACCCUUUCUGUAGUGGGCUAGUGUGUCAGGCUAACACAACAUUUAAAUCACACUACUACAGAUAGCUAUUACGUUUUCCUUAGAUAUUUUUGUGAUAUUUUUACUACCCACAGAUCACACCCUCUUAGUCUGAUACCUUCUAAACAUUAUUGUCCUUCUCUGUUUGCUUGGAUGGCUUGUUGGGUGGAUAGCACAGUUGGAAUGUGGUGUGCCCAACCUUCAAUAAAGGUGUAUGUAGUAGUAACUAGGAUGAUUCUUGUUGGAUAUGUUUUUAUGCCGUGUGAACUUUGGGCAUUGUUUGGCAUUACACUAUAGCCUUUUGGUGUUCUGGCAUUUCAUCCCAAAUAUGUCUAUAAUCUAUUAUUGGUAAUGACAACUAAUCAGUGGUUUAAUGUCAUUACUAGAUAAUUCAAUCUCCAAUGUUUUAAGGUGGAAAUGAAUUUAGAUUGGUUUGAUUGAAGUCAGUAAAUGUGAGUGAGUAGCACCCUGGAAUCUAACAGGGGACUGGCCCUGCCACAUUCCAGUGUUUCUCCAUUGGAAGUCUACCAAUGAGGAAUCACACUGUUAUAAUAAUGUGUAUCUCUUAGUGCUGACUCCCUUGAUUUAGAAAAGCAGUGCCUAUUCAACAAUGUCUAUAACAAAACCAUCUUUAUCGAUUUUGCCCAGGUAAGACAAAGUAAAUAUAUUAAAAGAUAGGAAUGCAGGUGUGUAGGAAUGGAGAGAAAGUGAGAGAGAGAGUGGGAUGGAAAACAGGAGAGAGGAACAGGUCUACCCAGUCUGUUCCUCUGGUCUAGUGCCUUCAUGAUGACACACCUGUUCUUUGGGGUGGAGCUGAGACAGGUGGCUGCUCUUUAACUAGAGAGAGGAGACACGGCUAGAGAGAGAGGUACAGCGAGGAGAGGGAAGUAAGGAGUAAGGUCAUUUCACUGGGACUGAC
ensembl:lncRNA